CUGUUUGAGCGAACUAGAUAUUUCAUGGACUGCUUUAACUGCUAUUAUGAGACGUACCUAAUGGACCCCCCCCACUCUACAUGUAGGUAUGCUGAGAGGGUAUUGAGGUAGUCACUGGCAUGCUCACGCUGUUCGGGACCUCUGCUUCACCACUGAUGGCACGUAUCUGGUCAGUGGUGGUGAGGAGGGUGUACUCGUCCUCUGGCAGCUGGACACACACAAGAGAGAGUUUCGUCCUCGUCUAGGCUCACCCAUCACACACCUCGCCUGUAGCCCUGGUGACAAGUACUUCACUGUCGGUCUGCAAAGCAAUGUGGUGCAAGUGGUAUCAGGACUGGACACUGAGGUGGAAUGGACUAUCGGAGGACUAAGGAGGUGCCAUACCCAGACUGUAGACCAGAAUGGAAUCAAUACUGGCCUAGUGAUCUGUCCACGUUCCAUGUCUAUAGUGACCAACAGUACGCCCGGGUUCAUCCAGUUCUAUGACCCAGUCAAGGAGUCAGUUAUACCCAACAAGUUUGAAUGUGACGGACCUGAACUACGUGUCUCGGCCUCUCUCUGACCACAGUUGAUCACACCUCUUUCUCUCCUGAUGGGGACUGGCUAGCCACAGUUGAGAGCAGAGAUGAUAGUAAGACUGUCCCUGAGUUACGGAUGAAGCUAUGGCAGUACAGUUCCUCUCAACAAAGGUCAGGCUCACUUUUAGGUAGUCUCAGUGGAGAAUUGGCUCUUGGUUCUGUAUAUUUGUCAAUUUUUUGUUGUUUCGGUGCAGCGUUAAUUUUCUUAACAUGAUCUGCAAUGUUAGAGUCGUAUACUUUUCGUUUACAUAUUACGUCUUCAGGAAUCACUUGACGAGUUUCAAGACUUAGUUCUGGUAGUUCAUCGCACACUGCUAUUGGUUCUAGUGUAAAGUUGACUCCGCUGUCGUUCAUAUUCCAUUUCCAGUCAGCCAGCUGUUCUCUAACUGCUCUAUCGCUUUUGGGUGGUUUUCCAUGAUACAGGUAGCUAAUGCGGAGCGUGUAGUUGACCGUAAGCUUAAGCCUCUCUCUGCAGUCCACGAGCAUCUUGAGUAUUGCAGACUGACAUUCCGAACAAGGACUGCUGGUAGCCAUUGUGGCGAGGCUGAUUUCUGUUUGCUCUGUUAGAUCUCUCCCAUCUAGCCAGGCUGAUAUUUUUCUUAUAGCAGCUAGCUCAGUAUGCUCUGUGGUUGUUUCUGAUCUAUCUGAAUGGAUUUCCCCACUUGGUUUCAGUGUCACUUGGCUUACAGCUACUAUUCUUGAGCUGUCUUGGUUUUGAACUCUAUAGAAGCGAUUCCUGUCUUGCGGCUCGAGCAGGUCAAUUAAGUCGCGUAGUGUUUCUGUUUUAGUAGCUGUUUCUGUAGCUGUAUUAAUGGUUGGAAUAGUUGUCAAUCACUUUUAUACAGUAUUAUGUAUGAUAAUAUGUUUACUAUAAUAAUGGCUUAAUUAUACAAGAGGUUAGCAAACAAAUAGAAUGUUUAAAAUAGCUUAAAAGUUACCAUUUGUGGCCAUUGAUACGAGUACUUGAAACUGCUCAGCUGAGUACUAGUCUUUCAACUGAAAUGUAUGUGUGCGUGAUCUAGUGAGUAGUAAUUUUACCGAGAAGUGUGUAUGUGAAUAUCACAUCAUGUGAUUUUAUCAUGUCUAAAUACGCAAUGCCAUCGUAUACAUGUAGCUAUGUUAUAGUUAUUGACUGGUUGACUAGUAAUUAUGGCUUUUAACCAACCAAUGCCGAGGGCACAGCCCGAGGCUGAGGUUGGUUAUAAACCAUAAUUACUAGGCAACCAGUCAACAACUGAUUUAUUUACUGCAAAAACAGCAAAACAGUCAUUUGAACAUUAAUGGAGACAGUCAAACUUGCUCUCACAGCCACUUGUGCCUCAGAAUAUGCAGUUAGAACAGUUACAGCUGUCAAGUAUGAGAGCUAGCUAGCUACUUCUCCAAACAUCUAGGUUCUACUGGAAGCCAUAAAUUGACCAGACCCGCCCACCAAUGCAAUAUCAGCAGCUGCCGUUUUCAAUUUGCAUUGUUCAAGUCUACCAACACUGCACUGCACUGUACUCGAACUCCUCUACCUCUGAGCCACAACCUUGACUAGAAACACAGAGCAAGAAUUGAACUGCAGUGUUUCAGGCCUCAUGAACAUGUAAUAAGUAGCUAAGUGUGCUGUAUUGCUAUUUUACUGUGUACAAAUUGUCAAGAUGAUUCAAAAGUUGAAUACCGUAUUCACCCGAAUUACCGGGACACUCUAUUCUAAGGGACACUUCGGACUUACGUAAUUUUUUCAUUCUAUAUUAAGGAACAACAGGAAAUGUAAAUAUUUUUAGACGUCCCGAUCUAAUUAGAACGAAAAAGAGCAUGUUAGCUCGAUAGAGACUCAAAACUCUUAGAAAUUCUCUGGAUUCUACUCUCUGGCACCGUAAUAUGUCACUGACGGUUGAAGACACCUUUGUAGACAUGGAACCCGCGUACACAGCUUCUAAACUGCACAAAGACAUUUUAGCUGCAGAUCUAGCCUCGGCCUGGAAUUGAGGCCGUGUACGUACCUUAAAUGGGGAAAUAUUCGUUCUAAUUACUACGGGACGCCCUAAUACAAGGGACACUUCGACUUUAACGUAAUUUUUCUUGCUCUAUUCCAAGGGACACUGGAAGCCGUAAUUAUUUUUUUGUGUCCCGGUAAUUCGGGUGAAUACGGUAGUGCUUGUAGGAAGUAAAAAUAUGAGCCAUAUUCCAUACUUCCCUGGAGGAAGUAAAAUAUGGCUCAUAUUCACUGGAAAUCACCUAGGAUACGGACUGAAUCAGUAAAUAAGUAUUAGUUAAUGUACAGUGUAGAGGGGUUUAUGACAGUAAACCUCCCGACUACGAGGGCGUAAGCCCGAGGGAGAGGUGUGGUUUACUGUCAUAAACCCCGAGGUACUGUGUAUUAACUGAUAUAUGUCUCAUCUGAUUGGCUGACUGGUUGCUAUGCAUCCAGCUAUAUAAGCUUGCAUGACUACCACAUAGCAACACUAUUCAAACAAGAAGACAACUAGGAAGAAGAGAGCUUGUCCACACCAGGGCUCCGUCCACACUUGCGCAGCUUGGACAGAAUAAUAUGAGCAGCCAGCCCCUCCCUCCAAGCGAACGGUACAGAGCCACUCUCCCUCUCUGUGCAAUUAGUCAGCAGCCCCUCCCUCCACGUACCUACUGCAGCAACCAGCCAGAAGAAACAAAACAGCUAGCUCUAGACAGUGUCUAGACCAGCUCUCUUCAGCUAUGCCAGGCUAGUAGGCAAGCAAAGAAGCUGAACAGGCCUAAUGCAGUGGCUUGCAGUAUACUAGUGCUAGUGAGCAAGGCUCGGCUUGAGCCCUAGCCCUCUCCCAGAGUGUCUCUAAAGCAGCUCCUUCUCUUCAAGCACACAGCAGAAUUUUUGAUGAACUAGUCUACAGACUAUAUCCGACUCCAUGUUUUCAUUUAUGACAUUUUCUUUCUCAUGCAAGACAUUUCAUUCAUCUUCAUUCACCAAAAACACCAUUUUGUUGCAUAUGCUUGAGGUGCCAAUUUAUGAGCCAUAUUUUCCCUUGUAGCCCUGAGGUGCCAAUUUAUGACAGUUAAACCCCACUAGACUACAUGGCAAAAGUGUAGUAGAUGGGAAAUAUACAAUGAUAAUCGCCUUGUCAGACAUGUUAUUUAUUGUCUGUCUCAGUGAAUAAUUGUAUCCUAAUGCAAUCUUGAGUCGUAUACUUUUCGUUGAUGUAUUACGUCUUCAUACAGG